AUUGAACGCUGGCGGCAGGCCUAACACAUGCAAGUCGAACGCGUGGCGGACGGGUGAGUAAUGUCUGGGAAACUGCCUGAUGGAGGGGGAUAACUACUGGAAACGGUAGCUAAUACCGCAUACCAUCGGAUGUGCCCAGAUGGGAUUAGCUAGUAGGGGGGGUAAAGGCUCACCUAGGCGACGAUCCCUAGCUGGUCUGAGAGGAUGACCAGCCACACUGGAACUGAGACACGGUCCAGACUCCUACGGGAGGCAGCAGUGGGGAAUAUUGCACAAUGGGCGCAAGCCUGAUGCAGCCAUGCCGCGUGUAUGAAGAAGGCCUUCGGGUUGUAAAGUACUUUCAGCGGGGAGGCGUUACCCGCAGAAGAAGCACCGGCUAACUCCGUGCCAGCAGCCGCGGUAAUAC
rnacentral:rRNA from 1 species